AGUCGUAACAAGGUCUCCGUUGGUGAACCAGCGGAGGGAUCAUUACUGAGUUAUUAAAACUCCAAACCCUUUGUGAACCUUACUGUCGUUGCCUCGGCGUGAGCUACGGCUACCCUGUAGUUACCCUAUAGCUACCCUGCAGCUACCCUAUAGUUGACCAGUGGCUACCCUGUAGUUACCCUAUAGCUACCCUGCAGCUACCCUAUAGUUGAUCAGUAGCUACCCUGUAGCCGGCUUAUGGCCCGCCGAAGGACCGCUAAACUCUUGUUUUUUACCACUGUUUCUCUGAAUUGUAAACUUAAAUAAGUUAAAACUUUCAACAACGGAUCUCUUGGUUCUGGCAUCGAUGAAGAACGCAGCGAAAUGCGAUAAGUAAUGUGAAUUGCAGAAUUCAGUGAAUCAUCGAAUCUUUGAACGCACAUUGCGCCCAUUAGUAUUCUAGUGGGCAUGCCUAUUCGAGCGUCAUUUCGACCCUUAAGCCCCUGUUGCUUAGCGUUGGGAAUCUACAGCGUAGUUCCUUAAAGUUAGUGGCGGAGUUAGGGUACACUCUCAGCGUAGUAAUCUUUCUCGCUCGUGUGGUGGCCCUGGCUGCUAGCCGUUAAACCCCUAUAUUUUCUAGUGGUUGACCUCGGAUUAGGUAGGAAUACCCGCUGAACUUAAGCAUAUCAAUA
rnacentral:misc_RNA from 1 species